UACGUAGGGGGCAAGCGUUGUCCGGAAUUAUUGGGCGUAAAGAGCGUGUAGGCGGUCCGGUAAGUCAGCUGUGAAAGUCAAGGGCUCAACCCUUGAAUGCCGGUUGAUACUGUCGGGCUAGAGUCCGGAAGAGGCGAGUGGAAUUCCUGGUGUAGCGGUGAAAUGCGCAGAUAUCAGGAGGAACACCGAUUGCGAAGGCAGCUCGCUGGGACGUUACUGACGCUGAGACGCGAAAGCGUGGGGAGCAAACAGG
rnacentral:rRNA from 1 species